rnacentral:misc_RNA from 1 species
AAGUCGUAACAAGGUUUCCGUAGGUGAACCUGCGGAAGGAUCAUUAUUACGAGAUCAAAAUCGUAACCCUAGAAACAUUUGUGUCAAAACUCCGGUUGCAUUUGACCUUUGUAUGGCUUUUGAUCCACACAUGCACACACUUUGUUGUGUCCGUGGGUGGAGCCACUUUCUGAGCAGAUGAAAGUGAAACACUCGCAAGGGUGUUUGGGCCUGUCAAAUGUUUUUAACCGGUUAUCUUCUAUCUGCUCACCUUAUCAAACAAACCAUUAACCCCAAGUAAAUAUUUUGAACUAAAUACAUCUGACUUGGACGACUUAACUGUUGUCCCUGUCUGAAUCUCAAAACCGAACUUAAGAACAACUCUUAACAACGGAUAUCUUGGUUCUC